UACGGAAGGCAGCAGUGGGGAAUAUUGCACAAUGGGCGAAAGCCUGAUGCAGCUAUGCCGCGUGUAUGAAGAAGGCCUUAGGGUUGUAAAGUACUUUCAUCGGGGAGGAAAAACAAAACUAAUAAUUUUAUUUCUUGACGUUACCCGAAAAAGAAGCACCGGCUAACUCCGUGCCAGCAGCCGCGGUAAUACGGAGGGUGCGAGCGUUAAUCGGAAUUACUGGGCGUAAAGGGCACGCAGGCGGUUAAUAAGUUGGAUGUGAAAUCCCCGGGCUUAACCUGGGAAUGGCAUUCAAGACUGGUUAGCUAGAGUCUUGUAGAGGGGGGUUAGAAUUCCAUGUGUAGCGGUGAAAUGCGUAGAGAUGUGGAGGAAUACCGGUGGCGAAGGCGGCCCCUGGACAAAGACUGACGCUCAUGUGCGAAAGCGUGGGGAGCAAACAGGGAUUAGAUACC
rnacentral:rRNA from 1 species